rnacentral:rRNA from 1 species
GAUGAACGCUGGCGGCGUGCCUAAUACAUGCAAGUCGAGCGAACAGACGAGGAGCUUGCUCCUCUGACGUUAGCGGCGGACGGGUGAGUAACACGUGGAUAACCUACCUAUAAGACUGGGAUAACUUCGGGAAACCGGAGCUAAUACCGGAUAAUAUAUUAAACCGCAUGGUUCAAUAGUGAAAGAGGGUUUUGCUGUCACUUAUAGAUGGAUCCGCGCCGCAUUAGCUAGUUGGUAAGGUAACGGCUUACCAAGGCAACGAUGCGUAGCCGACCUGAGAGGGUGAUCGGCCACACUGGAACUGAGACACGGUCCAGACUCCUACGGGAGGCAGCAGUAGGGAAUCUUCCGCAAUGGGCGAAAGCCUGACGGAGCAACGCCGCGUGAGUGAUGAAGGUCUUCGGAUCGUAAAACUCUGUUAUUAGGGAAGAACAAAUGUGUAAGUAACUAUGCACGUCUUGACGGUACCUAAUCAGAAAGCCACGGCUAACUACGUG